CAUGCAAGUCGAGCGGUAACAGACAUAAAGAUUCAGCUUGCUGAAUCCGGUGCUGACGAGCGGCGAACGGGUGAGUAACGCGUAGGAAUCUACCCAGUAGCGGGGGAUAGCCCGAGGAAACUCGGAUUAAUACCGCAUACGCCCUGAGGGGGAAAGGGGGCAGUUUACUGCUUUCACUAUUGGAUGAGCCUGCGUAAGAUUAGCUUGUUGGUAGGGUAAUGGCCUACCAAGGCGACGAUCUUUAGCUGGUCUGAGAGGACGAUCAGCCACAUUGGGACUGAGACACGGCCCAGACAUCUACGGAUGGCAGCAGUUAAGAAUAUUGGACAAUGGGGGCAACCCUGAUCCAGGUAUACCGCGUGUGUGAAGAAGGCCCUAGGGUUGUAAAGCACUUUAAUCAGAGAAGAAGCAUUUUAAGUUAAUACCUUAUUAUGUUGACGUUACCUGAAGAAUAAGGACCGGCUAACUCCGUGCCAGCAGCCGCGGUAAUACGGAGGGUCCAAGCGUUAAUCGGAAUUACUGGGCGUAAAGCGCGCGUAGGCGGUUUAGCAAGUUGUAUGUGAAAGCCCCGGGCUCAACCUGGGAACUGCAUCCAAAACUACUAAGCUAGAGUACGAGAGAGGAGAGUAGAAUUUCUGGUGUAGCGGUGAAAUGCGUAGAUAUCAGAAGGAAUACCAAUGGCGAAGGCAGCUCUCUGGCUCGUCACUGACGCUGAGGUGCGAAAGCGUGGGUAGCAAACAGGAUUAGAUACCCUGGUAGUCCACGCCGUAAACGAUGACAACUAGCCGUUGGGCAGAUUUAACUGUUCAGUGGCACAGCUAACGCAUUAAGUUGUCCGCCUGGGGAGUACG
rnacentral:rRNA from 1 species